AAAAAAACAACAGCUAGAGACUCACGACGCAUUGUAAGCUUUCUUCGAGUGAUACAAGUUCUUUCCUCCCAUCUUGAGCGAGUUUAAGUGAAUACACUUUCUGUCUUUCGAAUCCAACAACGGAUUUGAGUGUGCAAGGUUUACUUAGGGCCAAGAGAGGGAGAUUUGCUGCCUAAGGCUACAAGGUACAGUGUGGGAAACAAGAGGGCCCUGACACAUAUUUAUUUUAGUGUCAGUCUUUAAAAGUAGUAGCACAGAAAAGGUCUUGACAGAGUUUGAAGAAGGAGACUUUAAGUGGCCUUGCAAUUUAUCUUGUACUUAAGAAAUAACUAUUUUGUACUUGUUAGUUGGGUUGAGAAUUUUUUCUAAUGGGAAGGGAUCCUGCGAGGAUAAGAUUGGGACAUACUUUUGUCCAAAAAAAAAAAAGGGACGGGAACGAGACAUUUUAUUUUCCUAUUUGCAUAUACAUGAUAGGAUUGAGAUUGACAAAUCUUGUCUCAUUCCAUCUCAUUGCCAACCCUAGUUGUUGGUAGGGAUGGCAUUUUUUUUUUUGUUGGGAUGGGAUCCAUUUUGGACGAGAUUAUGAUAUUUUUUUGUCCCAACAAAAUAAAAGGAUAGAAAUUAGACUUUUUUUUUAUCUCAUUUGCAUAUGCAGGGCAUGACUAGAAUUGACAAAUCCCGUGCCGUCUCAUCCCAUUGCCAACCCUACUUGUCAGUUGAGUUAUUUACUAUUUUUCAACAGAAGACAUGGUAUAGUUCUACUUGUUCUGACCUGCUGUUAAGUAUAAUUUUCUUUUUUAAUUUUCUAUUUAAUUUGUUAGAAUGGUAGACAAAACAAGUGUGAUAAAAUCUUUCAUUCUCAAAUAUUUCCUUAAUUUCCAACAUGUUUUAAUGAUAUAAGAAAAUAUUUAAAUUCUAAUUCACUAGUUUCUAUGUCUAGUUUUAUUUGGUUCCAUUUACCAUGUUCGCGGAAGAUAUGAUCUGACUGAAAAAAAUAUAUAUAUGAAAAAAAAAAAACAAGCAAACAUAGUUUGAUCUUAGGAUGCCUUGGUGCUUCGUCUUUGGUCGGUUAUGUUUCUGGUCAACCCAGACAGUGACCGGUCCCAAGUGGUCUCUCGUUUAUGGAUUUUGAAUUUUAUGCAAAGCGUAAUACAUAUAAUUAGGGUUAUGCUAAGUUACAGUCUCAGUAACUUACAGGCGGGCAUUUUGUGCAAAUAUAGGUAAUAAGAGUGGGGUCAACACCUUCUAAAUAGUUGGGCUGAAAUUUACUCAUGCUGUAACUUAGUAAAAGCCUUAUAAUUAAUGCAUGUUAGAAUCGUAUGUUGUUAAAUUUAAUAUAAUCACCACUUUAUCCAGUAUUUUACUCCUUACGGGCCGACCAAGUGCAAACGGAGAUUAGUUUGGGUUGUAGUACGGGUUUAAAGGUACCUCCCACAGUUGAAGCCCACUCAGGACCACCUCGUGGUAAUCACCAUUUGUAUAUUGAUUUUUCAAAAUAAAUACAUGCAUAUUAUAACAUUAUUUAUUUAUUAGACGGUUGGCAUACUACAUAGAAUGUAUUCUAAAAUUUGUUUUAGGAGAUAUUAGAAACCCUUUGGCAUUUAUCCCAAACUACAUUAUAACUUACGUAUUUGUAGUCCUUUUUAACAAUUUAAUUGGCAUUAUUUUUUCAUUCUAAAGGAUAAUCGAGUUGGUUGACCCUCUUUGUCAUGUUAGCGAGAGGUUAAAUAUAGGUGAUAAGUCAUAUUUAAUUUUGAUUGAUGACAGAUCUACGAACUAUUUGUAGAACACG
rnacentral:lncRNA from 1 species